UAUGAGAAGUUAUCGUGUUUU
rnacentral:piRNA from 1 species